rnacentral:SRP_RNA from 1 species
GCCAGGUGCGGUGGCUCACGCCUGUAAUCCCAGCAAUUUGGGAGGCUGAGGUGGGAGGAUCACUUGAGGCCAGGAGUUCGAGACCAGCCUGGCCAACAUGGUGAUACUCCGCCUCUG